UCUUCGGAGGACAAAGUGACAGGUGGUGCAUGGUUGUCGUCAGCUCGUGUCGUGAGAUGUUGGGUUAAGUCCCGCAACGAGCGCAACCCUUGAACUUAGUUGCCAUCAUUCAGUUGGGCACUCUAAGUUGACUGCCGGUGACAAACCGGAGGAAGGUGGGGAUGACGUCAAAUCAUCAUGCCCCUUAUGAUUUGGGCUACACACGUGCUACAAUGGACAAUACAAAGGGCAGCGAAACCGCGAGGUCAAGCAAAUCCCAUAAAGUUGUUCUCAGUUCGGAUUGUAGUCUGCAACUCGACUACAUGAAGCUGGAAUCGCUAGUAAUCGUAGAUCAGCAUGCUACGGUGAAUACGUUCCCGGGUCUUGUACACACCGCCCGUCACACCACGAGAGUUUGUAACACCCGAAGCCGGUGGAGUAACCAUUUUGGAGCUAGCCGUCGAAGGUGGGACAAAUGAUUGGGGUGAAGUCGUAACAAGGUAGCCGUAUCGGAAGGUGCGGCUGGAUC
rnacentral:rRNA from 1 species